UACGGAGGGGGCGAGCGUUAAUCGGAAUUACUGGGCGUAAAGGGCGCGUAGGCGGCCAGUUACGUCAGGUGUGAAAUUCCCCGGCUCAACUUUGGGAGGGCGGUGGAAACUGGAUGACUUGAGGACGGGAGAGGGUGAUGGAAUUGCCGGUGUAGGGGUGAAAUGCGUAGAGAUUUGCAGGAACGCCAGUGGUGAAGGCGGUCUCCUGGCCUGAUACUGACACUGAGGCGCGAAAGCGUGGGGAGCAAACAGG
rnacentral:rRNA from 1 species